rnacentral:rRNA from 1 species
GACGAACGCUGGCGGCGUGCCUAACACAUGCAAGUCGAACGCUUCUUUCCUGCCGAUUGCUUGUACUCUAUUGGAAAGCGGAGGGGUGAGCGGUUGAUUAACACCUGGGUAAUCUAGGCAGAAGAGGGGGAUAACAGGUGGAUACAGGCGCUAAUACCCCCUAGCAGUUUAUGGCGCAUGGCAUAACAGCGUACGGCGCUUUCGGCUCUGGUUGAUGGCUGGACCCGCGGGGCAUUAGCUAGUUGGUGGGGUAACGGCUCACCUAGGCGACGAUGCAUAGCCGACCUGAGAGGGGGAUCGGCCACACUGGAACUGAGACACGGCCCAGACUCCUACGGGAGGCAGCAGUAGGGAAUCUUAGGCAAUGGGCGGAAGUCUGACCGAGCAACGCCGCGUGAGUGAAGAAGGCGUUCGGAUCGUAAAGCUCUGUUGUUGGGGAAGAACAGGGUAGUUAGUAAAUGAACGGUCACUGACGGUACCGGACAAAGAAGCACCGGCUAACUACGUG